UUAUGAUGAUCAUGAUCGUGAUCAUGUUUAUGAUGAUCAUGAUCGUGAUCAUGUUUAUGAUCUUCAUGAUCAUCAUGACCGUGAUUAUGGCCAUGAUUG
rnacentral:pre_miRNA from 1 species